GCCAAAGCCUACUGGGGAUGGGUAUUUCACUUGAGAUUACUUCCCAAUUUUUAUUCUGUCUUCCAGAGGAUUAAAGAUGGAACUCUAAUACCAGUUAUGACAAGAUUCUUAGUAGAGAGUUCUCCACAACCAGGCACCCACAGAGAGAUGUUUAUGUGCCCCACUGGAAAGGCGGAGAAAACUGCUUCAGGUUUCAGGUGACCAACUCAGCUCUCCCAGCCACAGGCCCUGGAGAUCGCCCUAAGGGCUAAGGGAGCCAUAGCUCACACCCCUGCAACUUUCCAACCAAGUUGGGAAGCUCUGAUCUGGAAGAAAUGAUAAAUUUGGUAAUGGGUUAAGUCUAGAGGAGGGAGGCAAGGGCGUUUGGAUUUCAACUCUUCACCUGGUGUACCAUUUUAUCAAAGUGGGAGUGUAUUAUACUUAGAUAAAUAUAGCUUCUAAAAACCUAUUGGGAGAGGCUGGCUUUGACUCAGACUGGAGGGAGUAAGGAGUAAGAUGGGAGAAGGGUAUUGGGGAGUAGAAGUAGAAGUGAUGAGGUGACUAUACUGUUGAAGGAAUCUCACUGACGAAUAGUAUUGUUACAAAUUUGUAUCUCCAUCACCUUGGGUUUCCUUAACUUCCUCCUAUCAACAUCUUGGAUAUCAUAGUAUAGGAAGUACCUAAUCAGAAGAAAGGAAUAUUAUGCAUCUAUCAAAACAAUAAUUAUGAAAACUAUGCAUAUAUGUAAAAAAACACUCA
rnacentral:lncRNA from 1 species